GUUGGUGGGGUAAAGGCCCACCAAGCCAACGAUCUGUAGCUGGUCUGAGAGGACUACCAGCCACACUGGGACUGAGACACGGCCCAAACUCCUACGGGAGGCUCAGUGGGGAAUUUUGGACAAUGGGCGCAAGCCUGAUCCAGCAAUGCCGCGUGCAGGAAGAAGGCCUUCGGGUUGUAAACUGCUUUUGUACGGAACGAAAAAGUCCUCUCUAAUACAUAGGGCCCAUGACGGUACCGUA
rnacentral:rRNA from 1 species